rnacentral:tRNA from 1 species
CGGGGUGUAGCUCAAUUGCUUAAGAGCCUGCCUAGCAUGUAGGAGGCCCUGGGUUCCAAUCCCAGCAUUGCAU